AUUGAACGCUAGCGGGAUGCCUUACACAUGCAAGUCGAACGGAGUGGCGAACGGGUGAGUAAUGUCUAUGAACGUGCCCAGUAGCGGGGGAUAACUACGCGAAAGCGUAGCUAAUACCGAAUACCCUUGGGGCGGCCGAUAUCGGCUUAGCUCGUUGGUGGGGUAACGGCGCACCAAGGCGACGAUCCGUAGCUGGUUUGAGAGGACGACCAGCCACACUGGGACUGAGACACGGCCCAGACUCCUACGGGGUGCAGCAGUGUGGAAUUUUGGACAAUGGGGGCAACCCUGAUCCAGCCAUCCCGCGUGUGCGAUGAAGGCCUUCGGGUUGUAAAGCACUUUUGGCAGGAAAGCGGUACCUGCAGAAUAAGCACCGGCUAACUACGUGCCAGCCGCCGCGGUAAUUC
rnacentral:rRNA from 1 species